rnacentral:rRNA from 1 species
CAGCCCACAAGGCCUUUACUGACGCUAAAGCUCGAAGGUGCGGGUAUCGAACAGGAUUAGAUACCCUGGUAGUCCGCACGGUAAACGAUGGAUGCCCGCUGUUUGCGAUAUACUGUGAGCGGCCAAGAGAAAUCGUUAAGCAUCCCACCUGGGGAGUACGCCGGCAACGGUGAAACUCAAAGGAAUUGACGGGGGCCCGCACAAGCGGAGGAACAUGUGGUUUAAUUCGAUGAUACGCGAGGAACCUUACCCGGGCUUGAACUGCAGGAGAAGGAUACAGAGAUGUUGACGCCUUUCGGGGCUCCUGUGGAGGUGCUGCAUGGUUGUCGUCAGCUCGUGCCGUGAGGUGUCGGCUUAAGUGCCAUAACGAGCGCAACCCUUUUCUUCAGUUGCCAUCAGGUGAUGCUGGGCACUCUGGAGACACUGCCACCGUAAGGUGUGAGGAAGGUGGGGAUGACGUCAAAUCAGCACGGCCUUUACGUCCGGGGCUACACACGUGUUACAAUGGGUGGUACAGAGAGUCGGUCGUCUGCAAAUGCGAUCCAAUCCUUAAAGUCAUCCUCAGUUCGGAUUGGGGUCUGCAACCCGACCCCAUGAAGCU